rnacentral:rRNA from 1 species
AUACGGAGGGUGCAAGCGUUGUUCGGAAUUACUGGGCGUAAAGGGCGCGCAGGCGGUUUGGUAAGUCAGAUGUGAAAGCCCAUGGCUCAACCAUGGAAGUGCAUUUGAAACUGUCAGACUUGAGUACUAGAGGGGAAAGUGGAAUUCCCGGUGUAGAGGUGAAAUUCGUAGAUAUCGGGAGGAAUACCGGUGGCGAAGGCGACUUUCUGGCUAGAUACUGACGCUGAGGCGCGAAAGCGUGGGGAGCAAACAGGAUUAGAAACCCCGGUAGUCC